AGCUCCAAUAGCGUAUAUUAAAGUUGCUGCAGUUAAAAAGCUCGUAGUUGCAUUUCCGAGGCAAGGGAUUAGUCCGACCUUUGGUGGGUAUUUAAUCCUCUUGCCUCGUCCUUGAGUGGUGCUUCUUGGUAUUAAGUUAUCGAGGAGAUAGCCGCUCAUCGUUUACUGUGAGAAAAUUAGAGUGUUCAAAGCAGGCUUAUGCCGUUGAAUAUAUUAGCAUGGAAUAAUAAGAUAGUACCUCGGUACUAUUUUGUUGGUUUGAGAACCAAGGUAAUGAUUAAUAGGGACAGUUGGGGGUAUUCGUAUUCAGUUGUCAGAGGUGAAAUUCUUAGAUUUACGGAAGACGAACUACUGCGAAAGCAUUUACCAAGGAUGUUUUCA
rnacentral:rRNA from 1 species